GCCUGCAUGAAGUCGGAAUUGCUAGUAAUCGCGGAUCAGCAUGCCGCGGUGAAUACGUUCUCGGGCCUUGUACACACCGCCCGUCACACCAUGGGAGUCGGUAACACCCGAAGUCUGUAGCCUGACGCAAGAGGGCGCAGCCGAAGGUGGGAUUGAUGACUGGGGUGAAGUCGUAACAAGGUAGC
rnacentral:rRNA from 1 species